rnacentral:rRNA from 1 species
UACGUAGGGUGCAAGCGUUAUCCGGAAUUAUUGGGCGUAAAGAGCUCGUAGGCGGUUUGUCGCGUCUGCUGUGAAAACUGGAGGCUCAACCUCCAGCCUGCAGUGGGUACGGGCAAACUAGAGUGCGGUAGGGGAGAUUGGAAUUCCUGGUGUAGCGGUGGAAUGCGCAGAUAUCAGGAGGAACACCGAUGGCGAAGGCAGAUCUCUGGGCCUUACCUGACGCUGAGGCGCGAAAGCUAGGGGAGCGAACAGG